rnacentral:rRNA from 1 species
UACAGAGGGGGCAAGCGUUAUUCGGAAUUAUUGGGCGUAAAGGGCGCGUAGGCGGCCAUUCAAGUGACGGGUGAAAGCCCUCGGCUUAACCGAGGAACUGCCUGUCAGACUGGAUGGCUUGAGACCGGGAGAGGUGAGUGGAAUUCCCAGUGUAGCGGUGAAAUGCGUAGAUAUUGGGAGGAACACCAAUGGCGAAGGCAGCACUCUGGGACGUGACUGACGCUGAGACGCGAAAGCGUGGGGAGCAAACAGG